rnacentral:rRNA from 1 species
AACGUACGCUGGCGGCACGCCUAACACAUGCAAGUCGAACGAAGUAGCAAUACUUAGUGGCAGACGGGUGAGUAACAUGUGGGUAUCUGCCCUUUGGCCUGGAAUAACACGAGGAAACUUGUGCUAAUACCGGAUAAGUCUUUACGGAGAAAGCUUUAUGCACCAUUGGAUGAGCCCGCACUUGAUUAGUUUGUUGGUGGGGUAAUGGCCUACCAAGACUGUGAUCAAUAGCUGAUUUGAGAGGAUGAUCAGCCACAUUGGGACUGAGACACGGCCCAAACUCCUACGGGAGGCAGCAGUGGGGAAUCUUGCACAAUGGAGGAAACUCUGAUGCAGCGAUGCCGCGUGAGUGAAGAAGGCCCUUGGGUUGUAAAGCUCUUUCGUCGGGGAAGAAAAUGACUGUACCCGAAUAAGAAGGUCCGGCUAACUUCGUGCCAGCAGCCGCGGUAAUACGAAGGGACCUAGCGUAGUUCGGAAUUACUGGGCUUAAAGAGUUCGUAGGUGGUUGAAAAAGUUAGUGGUGAAAUCCCAGAGCUUAACUCUGGAACUGCCAUUAAAACUUUUCAGCUAGAGUAUGAUAGAGGAAAGCAGAAUUUCUAGUGUAGAGGUGAAAUUCGUAGAUAUUAGAAAGAAUACCAAUUGCGAAGGCAGCUUUCUGGAUCAUUACUGACACUGAGGAACGAAAGCAUGGGUAGCGAAGAGGAUUAGAUACCCUCGUAGUCCAUGCCGUAAACGAUGUGUGUUAGACGUUGGAAAUUUAUUUUCAGUGUCGCAGCGAAAGCGAUAAACACACCGCCUGGGGAGUACGACCGCAAGGUUAAAACUCAAAUGAAUUGACGGGGACCCGCACAAGUAGUGGAGCAUGUGGUUUAAUUCGAAGAUACGCGCAGAACCUUACCAACACUUGACAUGUUCGUCGUGACUUUAAGAGAUUAGAGUUUUCGGUUCGGCCGGACGAAACACAGGUGCUGCAUGGCUGUCGUCAGCUCGUGUCGUGAGAUGUUGGGUUAAGUCCCGCAACGAGCGCAGCCCUCACUUUUAGUUGCCAUCAUUAAGUUGGGCACUCUGAAAGAACUGCCAGUGAUAAGCUGGAGGAAGGUGGGGAUGACGUCAAGUCCUCAUGGCCCUUACGUGUUGGGCUACACACGUGCUACAAUGGUAUCUACAACAGGAAGCAAGACUGCGAGGUCAAGCAAAUCCUUAAAAGAUACCUCAGUUCGGAUUGCACUCUGCAACUCGAGUGCAUGAAGCUGGAAUUACUAGUAAUCGUGGAUCAGCGUGCCACGGUGAAUGCGUUCCCGGGUCU